rnacentral:lncRNA from 1 species
UGUUGUGUACCUCUCAGUACGUUUUAUUAUAAUAUAUCCCUGUUAUGGUUGGCUCUGUGUCCCCACCCAAAUCCCAAGUUGAAUUGUAAUUCCCAGUGUUGGGGGAGGUACCUGGUGUGAGGUGAUUAAGUCAUGGGGAUGGAUUUCCCCCUUGCUCUUCUCAUGACAGUGAAUUAUCAUGAGAUCUGGUGGUGUAAAAGUGUGUGGCACUUCCCCAUUCACUCUCUCUCUCUCCUGUCACCAUGUGAAGAUGUGCUUGUUUCCCCUUCACCUUCUACCAUGAUUAUAAGUUUCCUGUGGCUUUCCAGCCAUGCUUCCUGUACAGCCUGCAGAAUUGUUAACACACACUAAAGGGCAAUGCCAUUAAAGGAGAAGAGGAACUUUGGAAACUGCUGUCUGAAAGGAAAGCAAAGCACUCUUCAUUAACAGCUAGUGGGCUCCUAAUUUCUGCCCAUGAAGGCAUGUUCAUACUGACAGAGCACCCCCUCAAGGGGAAGAACCAUCCGCGCUAAUUCUUGUUGUCCUCUUCUGAGCUAGUGUGCUCAUUGUUCAUACAAACUAGUGUGUCAACAUUAAAACAAAAAGGGAGUUGAAUCA